rnacentral:lncRNA from 1 species
AUCAGGCUUGUGUGAAACUACAUUCCCCAUGGAUCUGUCUCCCUGGCCCUAGUUAAUUCUUUAAGGAAUUUAUACUAAUGAAAUGUUUCCACUAUAUUAAUGAAAUGUCUCCCUUUUGUUCUUUCUUGAGUUCUCAUAUCAUGUUAAAACCUAAUGUCAUAAAAACUGAUUGUGAAAUGUUUCCUCCUAUUCUGUUUUCCAGAAGAAAAUGAAUUGAAUUAUUAGGUUUUUUUUAAUUGUAGAAUUCUCCAAUUACACCUUUUAGAGCUGAAGAUUUUGGGAGGAGUUUCUCAGGUAUGAAUUACAUUUCUUUAAAAUUUUUAGAGAUAUUGAAAUGAUCUGUUUUGGUGAUUUGUUGCAUGAAAGGAAAUGGUCCAUUUCAUCUUGUUUUCCAAUUUAUAUAUGUAGAGUUUUGAAUAAUAAUCCCUUAGCCUUUGGUCUUUAUAAGGUUUGUAAGCGAUAUUCUUUGCAUUUCUGAUUGUCCUUCCUUCUCUUUCCUUUUUGCAACUUCACAUGAUCUUUUUUUUAAAAGCUCCUAAGGUCAUUUAGUGCUUCCUGUGUGUACAUGGUUGUAGGACUAUCUUCUGGAACAUCAGAGGCUACAUCCCAGAAUAAAACUGACUAUCCUUUCCACAACAGCCAUUGGCUGGCUGGCAAUAGUGUCUCAGCUAGAGGUACCCUUCCUGUGACUAUUAGGAAUUUGACUAGCUUGCUCUUGCAUGGGUCUUAUGCAAGCAGUUACAGUUCAUGUAUAUGACUUUCCUCUUAUGUCCAAAAAAUAAUAUUUCACUGUAGACAUCUAUUAGUUUUGUAUCUUAAAUCUUUCUGCUCCCUCUUCUAAAAUGAGCCCUGGGCCUUGGGUUGAGGGAUAUAAUAUAAUACAUUAGAUUAGAUAGAGGUUCCAUUUAGAGUUGAGCAUUCCAUAGUCUCUUAUUCUUUCUCUUCUUACAUUCUCAUGAUUCAUUGAAAUAGAUUUUAGGAUUCCAUUUGUAUUUAUAUUCCAUUUUAUUAGAUCAGACUGUAUAGUUUUCCCAGUAAUUAUUAAAUAAUUAUACAUAAGGAUUUUUUAACAUAGCCUACCUUUGGAAUUUCAUCAGUUUUACUAAAAUGCAGAAAUUGUCCUUGCAUUAAUAUCAUGUUACCUUCCUUCUAAUGGGUAGUCUUGACUAUUUCCUGUAGGCACACUAACUGUCAGAAGAGACGGUGUCAGAGGUUUGACUUCAUUCCUUGGCUAUGAUUUAUAGAACUCAGGAGAAGAAUCGUUCAUUACAUUAUCACGAUUUUUACCUGUACUUGAUUUCUCCUCUCCUUUGUGACGUCUCUGACCUUCUUCUGUUAUCAUUUCCUCUCUGUUUAAAGGACUUCCUUCAGGCAUUAUUCAGUGAUGGGGUCAUGAGCAACAAUAUCUCUGAGUUUUCCUUAAUCUGAGAAUAUCUUGAUUUCCCCUUCAUUAUUUAAGGAUAUGUUUGCCAGAUAUAUAAUUUGAGGUUGACAGUUCUUUUCUUUCAGCACUUGAAAAAUGUUGUGGUAUUUCCUCCUGGCCUCUGUGGUUCCUGAAGAAAAGUACCUUGUCAUAACUAAUGUGCCACUUUGUCCAGAUGUUCUCAAGAGUCGUUGUGUGCCUUUUAGUUGCUGGAAAUAGCAGUGUAAGUUCUCUUAGUCUGAAUUUAUUCUGUUUGAGAUUCUCUUUUAGACUUGAAUCUGUAUGUUUAUUCCCCUUUCUGAACUGUGGCUGACACAAACAUUGGGUCUUUGGUUACUGUUCUUGGAAGUCCCUGAGCCUUUCCAUCUUUCCUCUUCAGCUUCUUUUACUAGUUUUUCCUUUCUUGGGUGCCUUCCUCACAGAAAGCUGCUCAGGACAUGGAUUCUAUGACUCUUUAUUAGUUUUGUCUUUUUUCAUUUCAACUUUGUUAGCCCAUUGAGUGGGUUGCUUUGCCUUUAUAACUAUAUUUUUUAUAACUAUAUUUUUAUGUCUGUAACUUUAAUUCUGUUCUUUUUUAUAACUUCAGAUUCUUUUCUAUUUUGUUAACUUCACAUUUGUUGGUAAUUUCGUGUUGAAUAUUUUAAUGAUGGUAGCUUUCAAAUUCUAGUCAAAUAAUUCCAGUGCCUGAAUUAUUUUGAUGUUAAGGCUUAGUGAUUUUUGUUCCUUUUUCUUGGUUCUUGGGAUGGUAAUGUUUACAUAUAUCCUGGGUAUUUUUAAAUUACAGAUGUUUGAGUGCAAUUCAUUCUUCUGUUUUAAUAACCAGUGUCCAUAGUAAGAUGUAGCAUGUGAAUCAUUUAGAUUUCAAUUUCUUGCAGGGUUAAACUAACACCAUUUGGGUGAAUGUAGGAUACUGAACUGAAAAUAGCCUUCUUGAGACGGUUGGGUAACUAGCCAUCUCCCUUGGUUCUGAUAACAUCUUCCUUGGAGAAAGGACUUUCCUUUGUGCCUCUGAUUGAGAUGAACUGUUCACUUGCUUAUUCCUACUAGAAGAGAGGGAAAUAGACGUGGAACAUGGCUGGAGGUUCUGCUGGUCUUUCAUAGCUCCCCGUUGGUUCCCCUGAUGAAGGAAUGGGGACAUGCAUGAACUCCUGUUACCUCUAAACAGGAGAAUUAGGGUGCUGCAGUCUGCUUCCACGAGGCUAGAGGGUUAGGUAGGUGGAAUGUCAUCUUCCCACCUUACCUGCUGCCACCUUCCAAAGAGGAGGAUUUUCCUACUAGUGUAAAUUAGAAUUAAGUAGGUGUUUCAAGACAGAUUUAUGUAGGCCACCUUUUCCACAGCCCUUUUGACUAUGGAUAAAGGAUUUUCUUGAAGCAUUUUUAAAAGACCAUUUUAGAGCAUUUAGAAUUAAAGUGAGAAUGUAGUAGAGCUCUCAUAUACCUUUUGCUCCAUCGCCAACUUGCACAGCCCCCCCCCCGCUACUAUCCAUAUUCUCUUUCAGAAGGAUGCCACUUGCAGGAUGAUCUGUUCAGUAGUGAAGUUACAUUGAGACACAUAAUUAUCCACACUUCACCUAAAAUCCAUAGUGCAAGUUCUGGUAUACUCUUAGCAUUGUGCAUUCUAGAGUUGAACAAAUGAAUAACAAUCACCUGUUAUACUGGAAACACACACAGCAUUUCCAUUGUUCUAAAAAUAUUUUGUGGCCAGGAGGUGGUGGUGCAUGCCUUUAAUCUGAGCACUCAGGAGGUAGAGGUAGGUGGAUCUCUGUGAGUUCGAGGCCAGCCUGGUCUACAAAGUGAGUUCCAGGACAGCCAGGGCUACACAGAAAAAACAUGUC